UACGUAGGUGGCAAGCGUUGUCCGGAUUUACUGGGCGUAAAGGGCGUGCAGGCGGUUUGUUAAGUGCAGAGUGAAAGCUCCCGGCUCAACUGGGAGAGGUCUUUGCAUACUGGCAAACUCGAGGGAGGCAGAGGAAAGUGGAAUUCCCGGUGUAGUGGUGAUAUGCGUAGAUAUCGGGAGGAACACCUGUGGCGAAGGCGGCAUCCUGGACCGGCAUUGACGCUGAGGCGCGAAAGCCAGGGGAGCAAACGGG
rnacentral:rRNA from 1 species